rnacentral:rRNA from 1 species
GAUGAACGCUGGCGGCGUGCCUAAUACAUGCAAGUCGAGCGAACAGACGAGGAGCUUGCUCCUCUGACGUUAGCGGCGGACGGGUGAGUAACACGUGGAUAACCUACCUAUAAGACUGGGAUAACUUCGGGAAACCGGAUCUAAUACCGGAUAAUAUAUUGAACCGCAUGGUUCAAUAGUGAAAGCCGGUUUUGCUGUCACUUAUAGAUGGAUCCUCGCCGCAUUAGCUAGUUGGUAAGGUAACGGCUUACCAAGGCAACGAUGCGUAGCCGACCUGAGAGGGUGAUCGGCCACACUGGAACUGAGACACGGUCCAGACUCCUACGGGAGGCAGCAGUAGGGAAUCUUCCGCAAUGGGCGAAAGCCUGACGGAGCCACGCCGCGUGAGUGAUGAAGGUCUUCGGAUCGUAAAACUCUGUUAUUAGGGAAGAACAAAUGUGUAAGUAACUAUGCACGUCUUGACGGUACCUAAUCAGAAAGCCACGGCUAACUACGUG